UACGGAGGGUGCGAGCGUUGUCCGGAAUCACUGGGCGUAAAGGGCGCGUAGGCGGUUCUUUAAGCGUGUGGUGAAAGCUCGGGGCUCAACCCCGCGUCGGCCAUGCGAACUGGGGAACUUGAGCACUGUAGAGGCAGGUGGAAUUCCGGGAGUAGCGGUGGAAUGCGUAGAGAUCCGGAAGAACACCGGUGGCGAAGGCGGCCUGCUGGGCAGUGGCUGACGCUGAGGCGCGACAGCGUGGGGAGCAAACAGG
rnacentral:rRNA from 1 species